GCAUUGGUGGUUCAGUGGUCGAAUUCUAGCUUGCCAUGUUGGAGGACUGUGUUCGAUUCCCAGCCAAUGCA